rnacentral:rRNA from 1 species
UACGAAGGGGGCUAGCGCUGCUCGGAAUCACUGGGCGUAAAGGGUGCGUAGGCGGGUCUUUAAGUCAGGGGUGAAAUCCUGGAGCUCAACUCCAGAACUGCCUUUGAUACUGAAGAUCUUGAGUCCGGGAGAGGUGAGUGGAACUGCGAGUGUAGAGGUGAAAUUCGUAGAUAUUCGCAAGAACACCAGUGGCGAAGGCGGCUCACUGGCCCGGUACUGACGCUGAGGCACGAAAGCGUGGGGAGCAAACAGG